AUGAACGCUGGCGGCGUGCCUAAUACAUGCCAGUCGAGCGAACAGACGAGGAGCUUGCUCCUCUGACGUUAGCGGCGGCCGGGUGAGUAACACGUGGUUAACCUCCCUAUAAGACUGGGAUAAUUUCGGGAAACCGGAGCUAAUACCGGAUAAUAUAUUGAAUCGCUUGGUUCAAUAGUGAAAGACGGUUUUGCUGUCAUUUAUUGAUGGCUUAGCGCCGCAUUAGUUAGUUGGUAAGGUAACGGCUUACCAAGGCAACGAUGGGUUGCCGAGCUGAGCGGGUGGUCGGCCACACUGGAACUGAGACACGGACCAGAGUCCUACGGUAGGCAGCAGUAGGGAAUCUUCCGCAGUGGGCGAAAGCUUUACGGAGCAACGCCGCGUGAGUGAUGAAGGUCUUCGGAUCGUAAAACUCUGUUAUUAGGGAAGAACAAAUGUGUAAGUAACUAUGCACGUCUUGACGGUACCUAAUCAGAAAGCCACGGCUAACUACGUG
rnacentral:rRNA from 1 species